GUUAUUAUAUUGACUGGCUAAGUAACUUACAUUUUAUAUGAAUGUACGUUACUUGAUUGUUGUAAGUGUUGCAAAUAUUUACAGUUGAAUACUGUUUGUAUACUUUUUAUCUGAAAUUGUAUACAAUGUAACAUUCUUCUUCUUUCACUGGGUAAGUAUAUUAGUACUUAGGCAAUACUGUGCUUCAGAACUUCGGCACUUUGACAGCUCGGAACUUCGG